UUGACCUCGAAUCAGGUAGGGAUACCCGCUGAACUUAAGCAUA
rnacentral:rRNA from 1 species